UGAACGCUGGCGGCGUGCCUAAUACAUGCAAGUCGAGCGAACAGACGAGGAGCUUGCUCCUCUGACGUUAGCGGCGGACGGGUGAGUAACACGUGGAUAACCUACCUAUAAGACUGGGAUAACUUCGGGAAACCGGAGCUAAUACCGGAUAAUAUAUUGAACCGCAUGGUUCAAUAGUGAAAGACGGUUUUGCUGUCACUUAUAGAUGGAUCCGCGCCGCAUUAGCUAGUUGGUAAGGUAACGGCUUACCAAGGCAACGAUGCGUAGCCGACCUGAGAGGGUGAUCGGCCACACUGGAACUGAGACACGGUCCAGACUCCUACGGGCGGCAGCAGUAGGGAAUCUUCCGAAAUGGGCGAAAGCCUGACGGAGCAACGCCGCGUGAGUGAUGAAGGUCUUCGGAUCGUAAAACUCUGUUAUUAGGGAAGAACAAAUGUGUAAGUAACUAUGCACGUCUUGACGGUACCUAAUCAGAAAGCCACGGCUAACUACG
rnacentral:rRNA from 1 species